rnacentral:rRNA from 1 species
CUAGCCUACGGGGGGCAGCAGUAGGGAAUCUUCCACAAUGGACGAAAGUCUGAUGGAGCAACGCCGCGUGAGUGAAGAAGGGUUUCGGCUCGUAAAGCUCUGUUGGGAGUGAAGAAAGAUAGAGGGAGUAACUGGCCUUUAUUUGACGGUAAUUACUUAGAAAGUCACGGCUAACUACGUGCCAGCAGCCGCGGUAAUAAGUAGGUGGCAAGCGUUGUCCGGGUUUAUUGGGCGUAA